AGAGGGCGUGAAACCGUUUAGAAGGAAACGAGAGGCGCCGUGGUCAGCCAGUGGGAUUCAGCUGUUGUGUACUUGUACACGCAGUGCAUUUCUCUCUGGUUUGCAUCGAGAGCCGUGCAUCCUUUGUCGGUUUGUUUUGAAGGGAGGCGACUUCGGUUGUUACUUUUCAUUUCAUUCUUGGCUCCGGGAAGUACGGAUAUUUUGCACUCUUAGUGGCUCGGUGUCGGCUACUAUUCGUUGCCGUAUUUGUAAUUGUUUUCGAUUGCUGUGCGGUGGUGUUUACAAUGCUGUCCAUCGAGUUUGUGCAUUCUCGGUGUGAACGUCGGCUACCCUCCCGACCCGUCUUGAAACACGGACCAAGGAGUCUAACAUGUUCGCGAGUCAUUGGGUUGUAAACCUAUAGGCGUAAUGAAAGUAAAGAUCGGCUUGGUCGGUUGUCACGCGACCCGUUCAUUUCGGUGUUCGGUGCAGCGUGGUCCCAUCUUGGUCGCUUGUCGACGAGGUGGAGAUUGAGCGUACAUGUUGGGACCCGAAAGAUGGUGAACUAUGCCUGAACAGGAUGAAGCCAGAGGAAACUCUGGUGGAAGUCCGAAGCGGUUCUGACGUGCAAAUCGA
rnacentral:rRNA from 1 species